rnacentral:rRNA from 1 species
GACGAACUGCCCAAACGUUGUUCGGAAUCACUGGGCUUAAAGGGCGCGUAGGCGGCAGAUCAAGUCAGGGGUGAAAUCCGGCAGCUCAACUGUCGAAGUGCCUUUGAUACUGAUUUGCUCGAGGGAUAUAGGGGUCUGUGGAACUUCUGGUGGAGCGGUGAAAUGCGUUGAUAUCAGAAGGAACGCCGGUGGCGAAAGCGACGGACUGGAUA